rnacentral:rRNA from 1 species
ACGCUCGACACCUAGGAGGCAGCAGUGGGGAAUAUUGCACAAUGGGGGAAACCCUGAUGCAGCGACGCCGCGUGGAGGAAGAAGGUCUUCGGAUUGUAAACUCCUGUUGUUGGGGAAAAAGAGGAUGGUACCCAACAAGGAAGUGACGGCUAACUACGUGCANNCGCGAGUAUGNGCGGCGGCGUGAGAG